UACGAAGGGGGCUAGCGUUGCUCGGAAUCACUGGGCGUAAAGCGCACGUAGGCGGCUUUUUAAGUCAGGGGUGAAAUCCUGGAGCUCAACUCCAGAACUGCCUUUGAUACUGAGAAGCUUGAGUUCGGGAGAGGUGAGUGGAACUGCGAGUGUAGAGGUGAAAUUCGUAGAUAUUCGCAAGAACACCAGUGGCGAAGGCGGCUCACUGGGACGUUACUGGCGCUGAGACGCGAAAGCGUGGGGAGCAAACAGG
rnacentral:rRNA from 1 species